rnacentral:rRNA from 1 species
UGCGCGUGCUUACACUGCAGUCGAACGAGAACGGAACUAGCUUGCUAGUUUGUCAGCUAAGUUGGCGCACGGGUGAGUAAUAUAUAGUUAAUCUGCCCCAAAGAAGAGAAUAAUUGUUGGAAACGACUUGUAAUGCUCUAUAUGCCUUUAUUACAUAAGUAAGCAAGGGAAAUAUUUAUAGCUUUGGGAUGAGACUGUACGGUAUCAGUUAGUUGGUGAGGUAAUGGCUCACCAAGACAAUGACGCCUAACUGGUUUGAGAGGAUGAUCAGUCACACUGGAACUGAGACACGGUCCAGACUCCUACGGGAGGCAGCAGUGGGGAAUAUUGCACAAUGGACGAAAGUCUGAUGCAGCAACGCCGCGUGGAGGAUGACACAUUUCGGUGCGUAAACUCCUUUUAUAUGAGAAGAUAAUGACGGUAUCAUAUGAAUAAGCACCGGCUAACUUCGUGCCAGCAGCCGCGGUAAUACGAGGGGUGCAAGCGUUACUCGGAAUCACUGGGCGUAAAGAGCAUGUAGGCUGGUAGUUAAGUUGGAAGUGA